rnacentral:rRNA from 1 species
GACAGAGGGUGCGAACGUUGUUCGGAAUUACUGGGCGUAAAGAGCGUGUAGGCGGCCAGAUAAGUCCGCUGUGAAAUCUCGAGGCUCAACUUCGAGCUGUCGGUGGAAACUAUCUGGCUAGAGUCCGGAAGAGGAGAAUGGAAUUCCUGGUGUAGCGGUGAAAUGCGCAGAUAUCAGGAAGAACACCCGUGGCGAAGGCGGUUCUCUGGGACGGUACUGACGCUGAGACGCGAAAGCGUGGGGAGCGAACAGG